UCCGUAGGUGAACCUGCGGAGGGAUCAUUACACAAUAAAAUAUGAAGGCUGUACGCGGCUGUGCUCUCGGGCCAGUUUUGCGGAGGCUGAAUUAUUUAUUACCCUUGUCUUUUGCGCACUUGUUGUUUCCUGGGCGGGUUCGCCCGCCACCAGGACCACAUCAUAAACCUUUUUUAUGCAGUUGCAAUCAGCGUCAGUAUAACAAAUGUAAAUCAUUUACAACUUUCAACAACGGAUCUCUUGGUUCUGGCAUCGAUGAAGAACGCAGCGAAAUGCGAUACGUAGUGUGAAUUGCAGUAUUCAGUGAAUCAUCGAAUCUUUGAACGCACAUUGCGCCCUUCGGUAUUCCAAAGGGCAUGCCUGUUCGAGCGUCAUUUGUACCCUCAAGCUUUGCUUGGUGUUGGGCGUUUUUUGUCUUUGGUUGCCAAAGACUCGCCUUAAAAGGAUUGGCAGCCGGCCUACUGGUUUCGCAGGCAGCACAUUUUUGCGCUUGCAACCAGCAAAAGAGGACGGCAAUCCAUCAAGACUCCUUCUCACGUUUGACCUCGGAUCAGGUAGGGAUACCCGCUGAACUUAAGCAUAUCAAUAAGCGGAGGAA
rnacentral:rRNA from 1 species